rnacentral:rRNA from 1 species
AGAGUUUGAUCCUGGCUCAGGAUGAACGCUAGCGGCAGGCUUAACACAUGCAAGUCGAGGGGUAUAUUUCUUCGGAGAUAGAGACCGGCGCACGGGUGCGUAACGCGUAUGCAAUCUACCUUUUACAGAGGGAUAGCCCAGAGAAAUUUGGAUUAAUACCUCAUAGUAUAGCAGUUUCGCAUGAAACCACUAUUAAAGUCACAACGGUAAAAGAUGAGCAUGCGUCCCAUUAGCUAGUUGGUAAGGUAACGGCUUACCAAGGCUACGAUGGGUAGGGGUCCUGAGAGGGAGAUCCCCCACACUGGUACUGAGACACGGACCAGACUCCUACGGGAGGCAGCAGUGAGGAAUAUUGGACAAUGGGCGCAAGCCUGAUCCAGCCAUGCCGCGUGCAGGAUGACGGUCCUAUGGAUUGUAAACUGCUUUUAUACGAGAAGAAACACUCCUUCGUGAAGGAGCUUGACGGUAUCGUAAGAAUAAGGAUCGGCUAACUCCGUGCCAGCAGCCGCGGUAAUACGGAGGAUCCAAGCGUUAUCCGGAAUCAUUGGGUUUAAAGGGUCCGUAGGCGGUUUAAUAAGUCAGUGGUGAAAGCCCAUCGCUCAACGGUGGAACGGCCAUUGAUACUGUUAGACUUGAAUUAUUAGGAAGUAACUAGAAUAUGUAGUGUAGCGGUGAAAUGCUUAGAGAUUACAUGGAAUACCAAUUGCGAAGGCAGGUUACUACUAAUUGAUUGACGCUGAUGGACGAAAGCGUGGGUAGCGAACAGGAUUAGAUACCCUGGUAGUCG